AAGGUUAUAAAUAUGAAAAAAGAAAUGUUUAAAAAUAUAGAUAAAAUAUUUCAUGCCUUUGGAAAGCUGCCCAAAGGAUGUUAUGCUUUGAAUCAUCCUGUCCUUUGAAUCAACUGUGCUGUCACCAGACAAAGAAAGAAUGGGGUUCUCAGGUCGUGUGAUCCAUGCUCUUACAUCAGGAAAACCUUGGAUAAGAAGAUCAUCCAAGAUUUCUGAGUGAUCUUAAUGCAAAUCGUGAGUUCUCUGAAUGUGGAAGGAGGAGACAGAGUGAGUGUCAAAGUCAGGGAAUGCUCUGAAGAUGCCCCCCUGCUGGCUGUGAAGAUGAGAAGAGGCCGGAGCCCAGGAAUGGAGCCAGUCUCUAGAGGAGGGAGAGGCCAGCCCCAGAUCAUUCCCUGGAACCUGCACAAAUGCUCCUUAGAAUCUACCAAAGAGUGACCCAGAGGACACCUUAAUUUUAGACAAGGGUUUGGUGCACUUUCUCAGAAGACUGUUUUAGCACAAGAUCCCACCAACUUCC